rnacentral:lncRNA from 1 species
GAGUUGGGGGAGAGGACCAGAACCACCUGCUGGAGAAGGGGAGCUACGGGGGCCGGGCAGGGUCCAAACGCCUCACGUAGGCGGCGGCGCCACGGUCUUCGGGGUCACAGGGAAGAGAAGGGCUCUCCUCAAGCGGGUGGAAGGAGGGAGGCCUCCCGAGGGAGUGAGACUCUAGGCCACUCCCCCGCAGCAAGGCAGGAUCACCUGCGACGCGGAGAGCGGUUAGAGGGCCCUGGAGUGGAAAAGGGCAGUGGGACCUGGUAGCUUGGGUUCCCUGCAACUUGGGGUUCGACCUCCAGGCAAUGAAGUAGGGAUGGUCCUGCAAGUCAAGAUUCCAGUAGCAAGAGUGCAUCAGAUCUCUGUAAGGAAAAUAACUAACAUUGCUCAGUUCCCUGUAGAGUUGCAGGGCGCUUUAACGUUAUCUCCCUUGGUUCUCCAUCAGGUCGUAGUGGACUAAUUUUACAGGCGAAGUUAAGUGACUUACCCAAAACCUCACAGCUAAUAAACGGCAGAGCCGGCACCCAGCUGUACUGGCUUCCAAUUCUGUUAGCUUACCAGCGCAUCACAUUAUCUCCAUAAAUCCCCAUGAUUCAACUAAUAUUAGACGCCCCACAGAGUCUCGCUACUCAAAACGUGGUCAGUGGCCCAGCAGCACUGACAUGAGGAUGUUAGUUAGAAACUCAGAAUCUCAGGCUCCACCCCAGACCUGCUGAACCAGCAUCUUCAACUUAACAAGAACCCGAAGAGAUUUGUGUCACAUCAAAAAGUUUGAGAAGCUCUGAUCUAGGGCUGGAAGGAGUGUUGCUCAACAAUAUCCAAAACCACAGAGGUUGAAAAGCACAAGGAAAGAAGGUAUGUUUGCACUUUGUGAUUAGGUAGUAGGGUCUUUGAGACCACAUUGUUCUUAUUGAAAGCCUGGGAAGAAAGAUCCCCUUUCUGGUCAAGUUUAGUCUAGGGAUCCAUCCCAUCUUCCCCAGUUCCCACGUGUAUGGGACAUGUCGAGAUAAGUAGAUAGAUUGGACAGUGGGAGAAAGUAGUUCUCUUCCAGUUGCUUCUAUUUUCUCAGCAAAGUGAGGAGCAAGAUCAUUUUGGCAGACUGCUAAUUGUCCAUCACAAUUUAGUCUCCCUUUCUCCCUGAAAACACAGACUGCUUUUCUCAGCCUCUCUUUCAGUUGCAUAUGGUCAAGUAUUAAGUUAUAGAACGUGAGCAGAUGUUAUGUCUGCCACUGUCAGGCCAAGGCGUUUACUUUGAGAGUACUUGUGCCUCUUUCAUGCAUUUUCCUUUCUGCCAGCUGGACCCUGGACACGGUGACUCUGAUUCAAUUAUGCAGAUGACCACAAACCUCUGGGGUUGGCAGAGCCACAAGAAAGAAGGUGCCUGGAUGAAGGAGAGCUACCCACUGACCUGGACACCCAAUUAUAGGAUAGACAGUGAAGUGCAACUACAGCCCGCAAAUGAAAAUGAAUAAUAUUAAUCCAGCCCCUCAAGGCAGUCAUCUGUCUUAGAGCUAUUGGAAUCCUGGAUCAUUGUGGGAAAUGAAAGAUACUUCGAUGGAAUCAGCAGCCAUUGAUCCAAUGCCAACUCCAAGACUGGAACGUCGCAAUGAUAGUUCCAAGGCGGAAAUUUGACGUAAUUCUUUUCGACACAGUUUUACAGGUCUGGAUGCCCAUUUUAAUUCUUCUGAAAGCAUGCCUCCUCCUUCUGGCUUCAGGACUCCAUCUCCAGCCUCUUGAUCUAAAAAU